AGCUACAGCCACAUCACCUUGCAGUACAAGACCGGUUACUCACUGAAGCUAAGCAGGGCUGAGCCUGGUCAGUACCUGGAUGGGAGACCUCAUGGGAACACUAGGUUGCUGUUGAGA
rnacentral:rRNA from 1 species